UGAGACAGGUGCUGCAUGGCUGUCGUCAGCUCGUGUUGUGAAAUGUUGGGUUAAGUCCCGCAACGAGCGCAACCCUUAUCCUUUGUUGCCAGCGGUCCGGCCGGGAACUCAAAGGAGACUGCCAGUGAUAAACUGGAGGAAGGUGGGGAUGACGUCAAGUCAUCAUGGCCCUUACGAGUAGGGCUACACACGUGCUACAAUGGCAUAU
rnacentral:rRNA from 1 species